AUUGAACGCUGGCGGCAGGCCUAACACAUGCCAGUCGAACGGUAACAGGAAGAAGCUUGCUUCUUUGCUGACGAGUGGCGGACGGGUGAGUAAUGUCUGGGAAACUGCCUGAUGGAGGGGGAUAACUACUGGAAACGGUAGCUAAUACCGCAUAAUGUCGCAAGACCAAAGAGGGGGACCUUCGGGCCUCUUGCCAUCGGAUGUGCCCAGAUGGGAUUAGCUAGUAGGUGGGGUAACGGCUCACCUAGGCGACGAUCCCUAGCUGGUCUGAGAGGAUGACCAGCCACACUGGGACUGAGACACGGUCCAGACUCCUACGGGAGGCAGCAGUGGGGAAUAUUGCACAAUGGGCGCAAGCCUGAUGCAGCGAUGCCGCGUGGAUGAAGAAGGCCUUCGGGUUGUAAAGUACUUUCAGCGGGGAGGAAGGGAGUAAAGUUAAUACCUGUGCUCAUUGACGUUACCCGCAGAAGAAGCACCGGCUAACUCCGUG
rnacentral:rRNA from 1 species